rnacentral:rRNA from 1 species
AACAGAGGGUGCGAACGUUGUUCGGAAUUACUGGGCGUAAAGCGCGUGUAGGCGGCAGCGCAAGUCGGGCGUGAAAUCCCACGGCUCAACCGUGGAAGUGCACUCGAAACUGCGCAGCUAGAGUCCUGGAGAGGAAGGUGGAAUGCUUGGUGUAGAGGUGAAAUUCGUAGAUAUCAAGCGGAACACCGGUGGCGAAGGCGGCCUUCUGGACAGUGACUGACGCUGAGACGCGAAAGCGUGGGGAGCAAACAGG